GGGGCACAUCAUGUCCCCUAUAGGAAAAGCAAACCAAAGAUAGUAAAAGAAAUAUAUAGAAGAAGUUAAGCCCAAGUUCAGUCUAUCUGUUAAGAUCUCCAACCUCCCACUUUCAGAACUUAAUUGGGGGAAACCACUUUAAACUUCUAAGUUCUCAGAUCCUGUGGGCUUAUUGUUUGGUAUUUCUUGAAAAUUGAAAGAAAAGGCAAACGGGCUGGCUGCGAGGGUGGAGUUGGCUGUCUGGACUGGAAUUCCUAUCCUUCCAUUUGCUAAAUGCUGCCCAGAGGAGGCUACUUAACUUGUGCGUGCCUCAGUUCUCAGCUAGAGAGUAGAGCUCAUACGAAAGAUAAUUAAGGAGCGGUCUGAAAGGUCUAUGGUGCUGUUCUCCAGAGGCAAUAGUCUGAGACACGCAGCCAGCCAUUUCCUUGUCCCUGAUUAACUGGAACUCAUGGGGCCAUUUCUCCUGGCCCGGGGCUAGAGCAGAUCCUCUGAGUACCAGUGACUGGAUUUGCUCCCUUCCCCCUCCCCGUGUCAGCUGUGUGAUUUGCCUUCGGGUGGAGCUGGACACCCACUCACUGGGAUCUGCUCACUCACAGGAUCGGGGCUCGUGAGCAAUUGGAGAUCACUGGGGUUGGGGGUGAGGGAUGGAACUGCGCUACCUCAUUCCCGCAGUUAGGUGUGGCCUGUGCAUUGCGACACGGACACAGCGAUUUAAGACUAAGAACAUCACAGAGGGACUUGUGGACCUUCUCCAGGCCAACCGUUAGAGGGACAAGAGUAUUUCCCAUCUGCAUCUUAUGAUAAUUAACAUGGUGCCAAGCAUAAUUCUCCUACUGUCUGUUUACCUUGAAAAGUUUUUAUUAUUUAUAAUAUCUAAUACAGUGUAAGUGAUAGAUGAUACAUUAUUAAAGAAAAAAUGCCAAAAA